rnacentral:rRNA from 1 species
CUACGGGAGGCUGCAGUGGGGAAUAUUGCGCAAUGGGCGCAAGCCUGAUGCAGCCAUGCCGCGUGUAUGAAGAAGGCCUUCGGGUUGUAAAGUACUUUCAGCGGGGAGGAAGGGAGUAAAGUUAAUACCUUUGCUCAUUGACGUUACCCGCAGAAGAACCACCGGCUAACUCCGUGCCAGCAGCCGCGGUAAUACGGAGGGUGCAAGCGUUAAUCGGAAUUACUGGGCGUAAAGCGCACGCAGGCGGUUUGUUAAGUCAGAUGUGAAAUCCCCGGGCUCAACCUGGGAACUGCAUCUGAUACUGGCAAGCUUGAGUCUCGUAGAGGGGGGUAGAAUUCCAGGUGUAGCGGUGAAAUGCGUAGAGAUCUGGAGGAAUACCGGUGGCGAAGGCGGCCCCCUGGACGAAGACUGACGCUCAGGUGCGAAAGCGUGGGGAGCAAACAGGAUUAGAUACCCUUGUAGUC